GACGAACGCUGGCGGCGUGCUUAACACAUGCAAGUCGAACGGAAAGGCCCUGCUUUUGUGGGUUUCUCGAGUGGCGAACGGGUGAGUAACACGUGAGUAACCUGCCCUUUACUUUGGUAUAACUUCAGGAAACUUGGUCUAAUACCGUAUAGGAUCUCCUGCUGCAUGUUGGGGGUUGGAAUGUUUCGGGGGUUGGGGAUGGACUCGCGGGUUAUCAGCUUGUUGGUGGGGUAGUGGCUUACCAAGGCUUUGACGGGUAGCCGGCAUGAGAGGGUGACCGGCAAAAAUGGGACUGAGAGAGGGACCAGACUGCAACGGGAGGCAGAAGUGGGGAAUAUUGCACAAUGGGAGGAAGCCUGAGGAAGAAAAGCGGCGUGCGGGAUGAAGGCCUUCGGGUUGUAAACCGAAUUAGCAUGUGACGAAGAGUGAGUGACGGUAAUGGGUAAAGAAGCAACGGCUAACUACGUG
rnacentral:rRNA from 1 species